UACUCUGCGGGCUCCGGCCCUGCCCUAAAACACGGGCGCCAAGACGCGGACGACGACUCUUUUCCGCCGCCGGCCACCGCAGUCAGUGGCAGCUGCUACCCGCGACCAAGUACGUUCUCACCGGACAUUAAUCCCAAGCUCAUGUGAAACCAUAUGCCUUCUUCCUCUCCUGAAGAGUGAAGUCCUGGCAGAUCCUGACCGAAAAAACCAUGCUCAACCACCCCACUCUGCCGCCCCAGUUUCUCCCACCCCCGCAGCGCCGCCGAUCUUGCUGGUACGGACGCAGGCAGCCCGAAUCAAUCCGACUGAUCUCGCCGAUACGCGUGCAGCGGGUGUUCCAUGGGUCGGUCGGGCGAGCGAUGAAGAGUGGCCCGCAUUCAGAUGAUGGGCUCAAGGUGUGAAUCUCCGUCAUGGUGGCUGAGCUAACUGAAGAUAUCAACAGCGAGAUGCUCCAUCUCCAUAGCUCGGAGGAGCUUCGAAGCCAACGCACUGGCAUAGACCGAGGAGCCCUCAGAUAUCUGCACAGUAGGAACCCAAUUUGAAGUUUCUACCUGGGUCUCCUGUAUCAUGUGGCCGUGAAGAUCCUGAUCCAUGUCAAAUUCAGCCCGAUGUUGUAUAUGGUUGAUAGUUCGUGCAGGCUCAGAGAAGUGCAUUUAACCGAAGCAUGCAACCGCUCUCAAAGUCAUCUACAUAACAAGACAAAGGAACUACCCUGGCUAAUGCGGUAACGACAUUGUGAUCCUAUCUUUUCAUCCUUUUUGACUGAUCAGGAGCCAAGAGAUACAGGCACAGGAGUUCAACCUCCAUGCUUUGGGUGGCUUUGUGCCUGCGAGAACUGAGCGAUCUGUCAACAGAACCAUGUUGGAACUUGUUCAUGGUCAAUCUUGUGAUGGGUUGCCUGCCAACCGAUGGAGAUUACGGUAUUAUUAUCUACUCCCUCCGUCCCACAAUAUAAGACAUUUUGGCAUAGCUUGCAAAAACUUCUUAUAUUAUGGGAGGGAGGGAUUAGUUGCAUAAUUCUCUUUCCCUUCGAUGAUACUGACCGACCUGAAGGAAGAGAUCUCGAGUGCUAUGGCAGGUCGUCGACAGAUUCUUCCUUGAGCACCCCUGAGGCGUUGUACCAUCGAUACGACUACUCGCUGCAUCGACAUGAGAAGACCGUCUGGGCGGGGUUUGAUCCCAGCCACUUGUUUCGGAUCCGAUGCUUGAAAAGCCUGUAACAAAGUUCAGGUAGAAAGAAAAACAAAAGGCCUGUAAUUAUUCUAGAUGCUGUCAUGUACUGUAACGCAAGAAUAUUCUUGUGAAGAAAAACAUUUUCCUGUUUCUGGAUUUGGGAAUGGAUGCCAAUGCAUGUGCAGGCACGAGUUAGUCAUGGGCGU